rnacentral:lncRNA from 1 species
CAGGCUAUCUAGGUGGAGUGGGGGAAACACUCUGCUGAUAGCAGUCACCCAUGUACCUAAGUUGAAAGAAGCAGCACUUCAACAGUGACCCUCAUCACUGCAACAGAGGACCAGAAUAUGAUCACUUGGAACAAGAAAAAAAAGUGCUUUUCUUCUCAUGUGGAAAUGUUAUUGACCCACCAUUAGAGGGUGUGAAGGCCCAGUUCUUUCCCAAUGUUAAGCAAAUAUUUCUGCUGGCCUGAGCCAUGACAUUCACGCCCAUUUAGUGAAUUCCUACUCUAUCCACGUAAUGAACUAACACGUUGAGUCUAUAGUACUCAAUAUAUCCAGCCCUGGAUCCUUCUCCUGAACCUCAGCCUGUUUCUCCAACUGCCCUCUCCACAUCUCCACGUGGAUGCAUCUCAUUAACACUGCAAACUUAAUGUGUCCAAAACAGAGCCCUUAAUUUCCAGCCUCCUACCUCACAGCUCCCAAAGUCUUUUCCCAUUUCAGAAACUGCAAACUCCAUCCAUUUUACUGCCCAUGUCACAGACCUUACAUAUAGCUUUGACUUUGUGCCUUCUCUCAUGCCCCGUAUCUAAUCUUCUGAAAUAUUGUUGGUGCCACCUUCAAAAUAUAUCCAGACUCCAGUCGCUUUUUACCAUCUCCACUGACACCACCGGAAGCCACCCUGCCUUGAUUGCUUACCUGGUUUGUUUGUAGUGGUUGAAACGGGCAUUCCGUUUCUGUCACUGGCCCUUGCACUCGACUUCUGUGUAGCAUCCAAAGGAAGCCUUUUGAAAUGAAGUCACUUCUCUGCUCAAAACUCCCCAGUGCCUUCUGUUUGUCAAGCCAUGGAAAAGUCAGAGUCCUCCAGUGGCCGAUAAGGGCCUACGUGGUUUGCAUCCCAUGCCCCCAACUGCUCCUACCAUCCCGUGUCCUAUCCCUCUUCCCCUCACACACUCUGUCCCAGCUAUGGAAACCUCUUAGGGUUUAUGUGAACCUUCUGUGAACAUUCCAGCUCUGCUGCAGCUUUAAGACAUUUGUGUUUGCUGUUUCCUCUGACUUAAAUGGUUUCCCUUCAGAGAGCCACAUCUUUCCUUCUGCCCAUGGCUCUAAGUCUCUGCUCAAAUGUCACCUUGACACUGAGGCCUGCCCAGACCUGCCUACCUAUGGGGCAAACAUGUCCUGUCUCCUUCACAUUGCUCUCUCUUUCUCCGUAACGCCUGUGUAUUUACUUGUUUAUUUAUACAAUGCCCCC